ACGAGCGGCGGACGGGUGAGUAAUGCAUAGGAAACUGCCCAGUAGUGGGGGAUAGCCCGGGGAAACCCGGAUUAAUACCGCAUACGCCCUACGGGGGAAAGCAGGGGCUCUUCGGACCUUGCGCUAUUGGAUGUGCCUAUGUCGGAUUAGCUUGUUGGUAGGGUAACGGCCUACCAAGGCGACGAUCCGUAGCUGGUCUGAGAGGAUGAUCAGCCACAUCGGGACUGAGACACGGCCCGAACUCCUACGGGAGGCAGCAGUGGGGAAUAUUGGACAAUGGGGGCAACCCUGAUCCAGCCAUGCCGCGUGUGUGAAGAAGGCUUUCGGGUUGUAAAGCACUUUCAGUGAGGAGGAAGGCCUUAAGGUUAAUACCCUUGAGGAUUGACGUUACUCACAGAAGAAGCACCGGCUAACUCCGUGCCAGCAGCCGCGGUAAUACGGAGGGUGCAAGCGUUAAUCGGAAUUACUGGGCGUAAAGCGCGCGUAGGUGGUUAGGUAAGCGAGAUGUGAAAGCCCCGGGCUUAACCUGGGAACGGCAUUUCGAAC
rnacentral:rRNA from 1 species